AUUUUGGAGUGUUUUUGUUUCCUAUAAACUUGAUAUUUGUUGACAGCAAUUUUUUGCCUGAAGCGAUUCAGCAUUAGACAAAUGGACAGUCACGGUGCCUGUUCCUUGAACAGUCUUGCUGCUGCUGUGAUUUAUGUGCCAAAGAGCUGAAUACAGGAGACAUUUGUUUCCUUCACGUAAUGCUACAUCAAAGGGAAGUGCAUUCUAUAUCCCAAUGCCUUUAGAGAGGUUGAAGAUGAAGUCACAAAUAGAGAAAUACUGUAGUGGAUGUUGCUCCGUGCCUUUUUUUCCCUAGUCACCAUACCUAAAGAUCAUAGUGCCCUGAGAUUUUUGGAUGCCAUUUCUCUUUCAGCACUGGUUAGGUAUUUUUCUUCUGCAUGUGCUUGGGUUUGUGUCGUCAGUGGAUAUUCAGGUGUGUAAUUUUUUUAUUAUUUCUUAUGUUUAUGUAUAACAUAUCUCUCGCUCUGCUUUCAGCCAGAUUAAAAUAGCUCUCUUAUAGCUAAAAAUCUGAGAAGGCAAAACGCUAGGAAAGGACAGAGAAAUGAGUGGUAAAAAAAGUUACAGUAACAUUUUUACCUUUUGUUAAUGGUGAUACAUUAUGCAUAAGCAAUAUUAUGCUCCCUGUUAACUCAUAGUUUGAUUUUAACAUUGCACAGACUCCUCCUUUCCAUCUCCCUCAAGAAUAUUUGGAAUGUGAUGAACUAAAAUGCUACUUUAUUUCAUUUGCAUCAAUAGUUGGAAGGAUAUGUAAAUUAUAAAAAUGUGUUUAAGAAGAAGCAUGAAACAUGGUCUUAAAGCUUAUCUAGGACAUUUGCUUUAUUCCAUGUUUUCACAUAAAACUUGCAAAAUAUAAAAAUGCUGUUAUUUUAGCACUCAUGUUUGAAUUUAAAUGCACAAAAACACAUUUGAGGCAGCAAGCCAACAGUAUUCCCUUUACACUCUCACCACUUUUUCUUUCAGUUGCUCUUUGUCAUUCUAAGCAGUCUCUGGCAACUGUACAAGGGAAUGAGGAGUGGAAGAACUAGAACGACAGAGUAGUGAAGUAACAGUAUAUAUGGUGGUGGUUGCAUGUAUGUGAGGGAGGCUGCCGAGGAUGGCAACUUGCAGAUGAUAUGUGAUAUGGAGAAAGCCAGGUGGUCCUGUACCCAGCAUACAUAUCUGUGGCAAGAACCACUUGUGAAGAAAGGAGAUAGUGUCUCCAGCAGAGCAGUAAAAAAGAAAUUUCACUCCAGAGCUUUCUUUCCCAGACGCAAGGUUGCCUGAAAUAAGGGAAAGAAUGUGGUGUAAAAGACUUCAUUGUAUAACGUUCACUGCUAUGUCUGCAAAAUUUGUUUUGUUGUUAAACACAGUCAACAUAAAACACAGAAACGUGAGAGGGAUGAUAUUGCAAAAGUCCCUUCAGUUACUGAUGUCCAAAUUGAUGACCUUGGAAUCCCUUGUGUAAUUACUCUUGAUUCCUAUAUUUUGAAAUUAACAACACUUGAUGCACAAGAGACUGAUCUUGACUGCAGUCAAGAUACAUGUUUUGCUCGGUCAAAGGCUGUAUACAUCUGUGCUGCUGUCAGAAAUUGAAAUCUUGCCUUCUCCUCAGCCAAGUAUUUUGCUCCCAAGCACAGUGAUAGCAUAAGGAAGGGAAAAAGUGCCAACAAGAGGAGAAAAAGAAAUGCUUGACUGCAGAGACUUGAAAUCAGCUUUCAAUAUUUGGAAAACUGCUUCCUUAGUAAAAGUGAACAAAAUAAUGACAUUAAAAUUAGCUGAGUAGUAAAGUAGCUCUCUCAACUGUAAGAAUGAUAUCUCUUGAAAAUAACUCAUCUAUGGAAUUGUAUCUGUCUGUAGAGUAUUAGAUGACAGAAUCAGCACAUACUAGCAGUGAAUAAGAGCAAGCACACUUAUAACCUUUUUUAAAAGUUAUUUAAACUAAUAAAUUGUUAACUAUGGAGAGAGCUUUAAGCUUCUGAAAAUCAUUAAUAGGUUUAUUUUUCAGGAAGACUGGUUUUAAAUUUCCAAAAUAGUAUUUUGUUUUUGAGUUUAUAAUAAAUUAUAAAUUACUUAAGAGGUUUAUCUGUGAACUGUCUGAAAACAGUUUCUUCAGCCAACACUGAAAGUAAUUGCAAAGAGUUUGGGAAUGAUAGGGUAGUUUUGGUUUUAUGUUCUUUAUUAUUAUUUUUAAUUUAACAAGAGGGAGAGAUUGAAUACCUUCUUGCAGUAUGAAAUAAAUUUGCAUCUUGGCAAUGUAGCUGUAACCAGCACCUAUAAAUAAUGAGUUAUCACAAUUCAAUCUAAUGCAAGAGUGGACAUGCUAUAGAGAGUUCUGUAGGUGUUUUCAGGCUUGAAAAGUGUUUUUAAAGUCCUAAAAAACAUUCAGGCUGUGGUUACAGGCACUUUAAUUAUACUUAAGGCAUCAUUAGUUGUUGCUUCAGUGUGAUGCUAAGAAAAUUUAAAAGAGUUUAAUAUGACAAUAUUAAACUGGGAAAAAUAUAUAGAGAAUUAAUUAGGAAUAGUCAACACCAGAUAUUUUGCUAAAGUGAAAUCUAGAAGACAAUAAUUCUAAAUAUGUUUAAAAGGCACAAUAUUUCAUGCUGGUUUUUUUGCAACAUGAGUUUCUGUAGAGUGAAAGGGCUGUUGAACUGAGACAAAAAGCCUUGAUUUCUGUGAUUCUGAUGUCUGCUGCAGUGACCUAUUUGAGGAGGUUGAACUAUUACUGUGCCUUGGACUUUUUGGCCCACAAUGCUGUAAUGCACAGAUGAGUUUCAGAAGAUCCCCAGCAAUGUGUGUUAUCUUAAGAUAUUUUGCAUCUCUCAAAAUCGGGCAAAUUAUGUUAAUAGUAAUUUUAGUUUGAAAUCUGUGUAUGAGCCUUAUACUUAUAAUCCUCAGUGUGAAUGUCUGCAAAAAACACACAAGGCUGUCCUGGAGGACUUUAUAUAACAUGUCUAUGGUUUCAAAUGAAGAAUUUCCAUUUAAGUGGCUUGGUAUCACUGUUACUUUUCCAUGAGUCUGUUAAAACAGUAAGAGAAAAAAGAUGGUGUUCAUAUGGUUACUGGAUGUACCUGUGUGAUGUUUGUUGGCUUUGUAACAAGCCAGCAUUUCAAAGUUCAGAGACUCGGUGUAAUGACAGUGUGGUGCCAGAGCUUCCUGACUGUCUUGAACUCUAACACCUGACUGGAGAGCUUGUCUGCAGUUGUCUCAUGUCCAGCCUCUUUGUGUUGGAGGGUUAUCCAAGUCUGUCAUAUACAAUGACCACAAAGAGUGUAAGCUUAAAGAGAGUUUAUUAUUUCCAUUAUAAUUGUGUUUGAUAUCUGCAAACAGUAAGCACCUUUUUAGAAUACAUUGAGAAGAGCUGGAUAGAAAAAUAAUAAGUGAGAAUAGGCAACAGUUCAAUGAUUCACGUAGCUUUACAUUCAUGAGCAAAGGUCUAUCCAUAUCCAUUUCUUUUGUUUCAUCUACUCUGCUCUUUCAAGGUUGAUAAGGACCUUUGGAUCUUUAUCUUGCCGUUAAAGCCUACCCUCAAUUAAACUUUGAUCUACACAUAUUUUCUACUGUAGUGGAAAUAACUAAUGCUAACUAAAUUUGCUAAAAUGUAAAGCGGGAUAACUACACAUAAGGUUAAUCCCUCAAUAAUAGUACAAGUCCAGAGUAUUUUCUGCAUCUGUUUUCACAAUUAAUGCAUUGGUGUUUCAUUUGUAAUGUUUUUUCCUCUCGCACUAUACCAAUAUAUUUUUUAACAGAAAUUGAGUUAAAACAAGGAAAAGUUUUGUGAAGCAUUUCCAAUUCAGUGAUCAACAGGCACUUGGACUAGGGUUUAUAAUUUAAUAAUAACAAAUAAUAUAUGAAAAUAGAGAAGGCUUUAUUGGAGAAUAUACUAAGAAAUAGGAUUUUUCCCCAUUUUCUCAGAUUCAUUUCUUAUGUAAAAGUUGCUAAUCGUGAAAAGGAAUAUGAAGUGUUAUAAUUUCUUUUGGUACACCUGUGGAUUGAAUGCAGUAGAUAACAGUAAUUUUAAAACAAAGCAUUAGUUGUUUUUGUGAUCUUGGAUCAGUGUGAAAAUCUCUGAGACCACUGGAAGACAGAAGAGAGGAAAUAGGAAAUAUUAUGAAAAAUAGGUUGAAAGUCACAUUUCAUUGCCUAUUUCAGAUCAAGGAAUAGCAUGACCCAAACCCAGAGGCAGUUAUUGCUGAGAAAUUUCCUUUUUGCUUCUGUCUUUGUUAACAUAGUGUCAAAGGGUAAUCACAAAUGAACUUUAAGCCUUUUAAAAUCUGCAGCAAUUGAAGUCUGAAUACCUUACUAACAAUAGAUUGAAAAACAAGAGAGGUUAAAGGUGAUACAUUUAUUUUUUAGUUUUUUUCUUCUUUUGGCACUGAUGUUUUCUGACCCAAGUAGGUGGAGACACUUAAGUGUACAUCCUGCCUACAUAAAAGCUAAUCAGUCUUUUAACCAGAAAAGUCAAAUAUUUUUGAAACAGUCACAAAAUACAUAUACUGUUUGUGCCACCGUCAUGGUAUGCACACAGAAUUUUGGUAUUUUUUCAGAUGUGUACUUUAACACUGAAAGUAAUCUAGUUUAUAGGACAAGCAGGGACAUGAGGGAAAUAAAUAGAAUCAUUGAUCGGUUUCAGUUGGAAGGACCCUUAAGGACUAUCUAGUGCCACUCCUGCUGGAAUGGGCAGGGACACCUUCCACGACACCAGGCUGCUCAAAGCCCCAUCCAGCCUGGCCUUGAAUGCUUCAAGGGAUAGUGCAUGAACAGCUUAUCUGGACAACCUUUUCCAGUGUCUCAUCACCCUCACAGUAAAGAAUUUCUUCCCAAUAUCUAAUGUAAACCUUCCCUCUUUCAGUUUAAAGACAAUACUCUUUGUCCUAUCAUUAUCAUUCCUAUAUGUCCUAUCUGCUCCAGACUUCCACAGGCCCCCCUGAGGUGCUGGAAAGGCUGCUCUAAGGUCUCCCCAGAACCUUUUCUUCUCCAGCCUGAGCAACCUGGCUCUCUCAGCCCACCUUCACAGGAGAGGUGCUUCAGCCCUCUGAGCAUCUUCAUGGCCUUCUCUGAACUUGUUCAAACAGGUCCAUGUCUGUCUUAUGUUGGGGACCCCAGAGCUGGAGGCAGCACUGCAGGUGAGGGCUCACAAGAGGAGGUAGGAGAGGGAGAGUGAGCUUCCUCAAGCUGCUGGUCAUGCUUCUUUUGGUGCUGCCUAGGAUAUGGUUUGUCUUCUGGGCUACAAGUGCACAAGUUCAGCCACUUGCUUGAGCCUGUGCAUUUUAAGCUUUUGGUUAAAUACAUGCUUUAAACUUGUAAAAAUCUUUAGUGCCUCCAAGAGUGUUCUCCCUCUCCUUUCUGCCUUUAUGGCUCUGUUGCCUCUCUCACACCUUUGUUACUAACACCACCAGCUCCUCAAAGUACCAAGAAUGGGCUUUUUUACUAAGAAAAGGAUAGCAAAUGUUGGGGGUGGGGGGUGGAUUAUGUAAAUAAUGCAAUUUGUUUUUUUGUGUAACAAGGUUGAGUAGAAAUCUAUGCCAACAGUUUAUGAUGCACCUUUGAACCAGAAAAUACAGCAGGAAGAGUUGUACUAUCCAUCUGCAAAUAGUUUAUGGAUAGUUUUUCGAUAAUAAUGAACUAAAAGCAUUGAAAUGAAACAUUUCUGUUAAUUUUGUUUGUUUGUUUCCUUCUCACCUAAAUAACUGAGCGGAUGUAAUACUUGGAAAUUAUCAAGCAAAAGGAAAUUGAAGGAAAGGUCAGUUCUAGAAUGCAGCAUUUUCUGAGAGGUUCUCAGUAUGCUUUUGGACUGGGAGAUCCUGCAGAAAUAUUCAAGGAUUCUCUUGGUAUCACAGGAUAGAAAUCUCAAACAAAAUGAUUAAAUGCUUCCCUGCAUGCUAAUCCUUGCAGUCUAAUCAUCAUAUGUACUUAAUUUUUACAUGGCUUUGAAUAUGGCAUGCAGCCACAUUUCCCUUGGUAUUCUUUCACCCCUGACCAUGUAAAUAUCCAGUCUACAUAUAACUUUGAAAUAGUAAAUAUAUCAUCUUAUGCUGGUUAUGAGAAGAAAGGUGGAUGAGAAGGGAUAUAGUUUUUGUUUUGAACCACCUUUGUUUACUCUAUCUUGAUGCAGCUAAACCCAUUUGCCAGGACUGCUCACUCCAACUGUAGAAAAUAGAAGAUAAAGCUGAAAAACUAAAACAGAAGUUGUUCAUAAUUUUGGAUUUGGUUUUCAGGAAAAACUAAAUUUUAAAGUCUCAAUAAUAGCGUAUCUGUCAUUUUUGCCUUCUGAGCGACUUCCUAGAGAAAGGUCCUAUCUGAUUCAGGCGAAGAGUUUGCAACUAAUACAACAGAAGAUUGCACUAACACUUCCUUUGGCACCCAGGUCUGUUGAGAAAUUUAAAAAAACUUCUGCAUACAGCACUUAGUAUUCUAAUCCAAAAUGAGAGACUGGAAAUCCUUACUUGACUGAGAUAUGACAUGGAAAUUGAUUAAUAUUAAAAAAUGCAGUAUUUAUUUUAGAAAAUUUGCUUGUUCCUUUUGUACAGGUUUUGACAAUACCUUUUAUGAUGUUCAAUUAGUCAACAAAUUGAAAUAAAAGAUCAACCAAUAUCAGUUUAUGAGACAGAGAGAGGAACUGGCCAAAGCUUGUUCUGCCAGUCCUCAUUUUCUUUGGAAAAUGUGUUUGGUAGAAUCUGGAUAGAUAAAGUUCCUUUUGAUAACAUGAACUUCAAAGUAUUAUGGACACUACAGUUCUCUAUGAUAGACAAGCAUAGUUAUGUGAAUUGCAGUUGGGUUAAAUAGUUAUUAUGUUUGAAUGUGAUUUCAAAGCUUCAGCUGGAAAUCUUCAACAAUAUGAGGACUGAUUAGUAACUGUUUUGCUAGUCCUUCCUUGAAGAAAUAAUUUUUUUAAAAGGUAAUUUAGGAUGUUUUUAGCAAGGAUAACUUCUGAAUAGCUAAUUUGCUGCAUGCUUUUUAAUAUAUAGCCAAAAAAGUAUCUAAACACAAGCUCAGCUUGUUAAACAGAAGUUCACAUGCUGGCUACCCUCACACUCCCAGUGCCUACUCUUUAAUAAAUUUGUUCUUGGAAUUUACCCUGUCAUAGAAACCAGCUACAAUUAGAUCUACCUGUCUACCUGCAGUUGGUCAUGCCCAUGCUUUAAAAAAAGCUCUGCAGAAGUGUGAACCCAUCCUUGAGUAAGGAGACUUGCUGGACAGGGUGCUAGCUCAUGAAGCUUAAUCAUAAACUCCCGUAGUUAUAUAGCUACUUGAUUUUAUUAUUUUUAUGUUCCCUCCUAACAUAUGCCAGAUUUUUUUAUGAAAGUGAUGCAAUUGUCUGAUGGUUUCCAUGCUUCUUUCAUCUGUGAUUGUACUACUAAGUUUUUCUUGUAUGCCAUUUCAAGUUUUCAUGCUUGUUCUCAGGUAUACCUGCCAUUAUAUCUUGCGUUUACUUAAACACAGUUUAUUUAAAAUGUGUUUAAAUUUUCUGUGUUAAGAAAUGUUUUCUGGUGAUGAAAAUAAGAGCUUGGAACUCAGUGGCAUUUGCUUUUUUCUGGUUCAGUGUGCAUGCUAUGAAACUUAGUUACAGAAUUUCUAUAUGCUAUUUUUUCUGUCAUAAACAGAAUUAAAUAGAGGUAACUAAAUAUAGCAAAGAAGACCUAAGAAUCGAGCAAGUGCUUUAGGUCCCGCUCUGUCAGCCUUAUUCUUGUCUUAAGAAGCCUUAUUGGUCUCUUAGAACUUUUAUGGAAGUAGGAAUGGAAAAGGCUUAUCCAGCGGAGGGAGCAGUGUUGCUUGAGUAGAUAUCUGUCAAGGAAAUAAAUUGAUACUUUCUAGAACACUGACACCAUGUAAGAGACAUGCUUUCAGAGGCCUUGUUUAUAUCCUGUAAAAAACAUCAAAUUGGAAGCACAAGUCUGGAAUUUGGCUGCAGAGGACAAGCUCAGUAUUUGUUUUGAAAUUAGUCAUAGGGAAGGCUUUUUGACCCCAAAAGGCCAGGAUAGCUGUAUUUACACACAAUAAUUGCACCACUGGUGUAGGAAGUGCCUCCAGGGGAUGGUGAAGGGUUGGCUUUAGUAUCAAAUAGAACAGUUGUUUACUAGAAAUAUAAUCAGUUUCUUACCUUUUGAUAAUACAUUAUAUAUAUUUAGUGUUUGUCAAAAAAAAAACCCAAAAAACAAAAAACAAACUCAUUAAAACCUUACUUGGUUGAUAUCUGGAAUGUUCUAGAAUUCCUGCCUGUUACCUCGUGGCAGGCCUUUAGGUAUCCUUGCCAAACUCUGCAGUGUAUUUAGUAAGAAAAAUAAUUAGCUGUAUUCAUUUUCCUGCUUGAAGGACUUAAAUACUUGCAUGGUCCUGACAGAUAAAAUGAAGAUCAAAUUGCUUAAGUUCUCAGUGGGUCAGAAAGACAGGGUAGAAGCCUAAAUUUUUAAUGUGAAAAUUCUGAUUUAAAAGGUUUCAUUAAAGACACUAUGGAAAAUGAUUUUUCAGAACUGAUAAAUUCUUUGUAAUAUUAAAUGGUUUGCUUUAAUUAAAUUGACAUUACAAGGCCCUGUAUUUAGUUUUCUAGAAAUGCAGGUAAGAGCUCCCCAAUAGAAGCCAACACGGGGAGGGAGCAAACCUCACAACCCAAUUCUGCUUUGAGGAAGGGAUGAAAGUCAGAGAACACUCCGGAACCAAAGGAGUGUGCUGUCUUUGACAGACGGGGGUAAGACAAGGGAACAAGGGAGGUAUACAGGUGGAUUGACAUGUGGAUUGACAUACAUUUUUAUGGGGAAAACUGUGGUAAACAACUCAGGACUGAACCAUUAGGGAAGCCAAAUGGGGUACAUAGAAUGAACCAUGACAAGAUUAUAACAAGGAAAAUUAAAACAUACUACAGAAGAACAAACUGUAAAAUAACAGACUAUGACACAUGUAGCUUUGGAAUUGCUUAUAAUCCAUUACAGCUUUCUAAUAUGAAAACCAUCAUAUAGCUCUAUAAACUCUACUGCCUUCUAGGAACUGACAUGUAGGAAUUAAAAUUUUGGUAAAAGCAGAAUUUCCUCUCCACUGAAUGCAGAAAUGGAUAGAAUAUCAAUGUACCCACACAAAAGUAUACCUGCACUUACUAUUUCAUCAAUUACUGGGCAGCGUAUUUUCUUAUUGAUAAACCAGCUAUUUUAACCAAUGACCUGCCAUGCAAAUUAUAAACUGAUAAUAAUUUGUGAAUGUGGCAGAUGUGAGUUUAAUAUGCCAAACCUUGGUUCUAGUUUUAAAUAUAUCUAAAUAAAGUAAUAUCUAAAUAAAGUAGAAAAAUAUUAGAAACAUAUUUGAACCUGCAAGUGGUAUAUGGGAUAAUAUUUUAAAUUUCUCACUGAUUGCAGAAGGAUACUUUCUCAUUAUAUAAUUUUCUGCUUAUUCUGUCGGUGUUAGAGACUGACAUGGAACCUGGAAGUAAAUGCUAUUCUAUAGUGUUGUGUGUAUGCAGUGUAUGUGCCAAACUUUAACAGGUGCUAAUCUUAUGGCAAUUUAUCUAUGUUUAUCUCCUGGACUUUCAUAAAGUACCUUGCCAGUAAAUGCAUUGUGCAAGUCCUUUGGCAUUUUUUCACCAUUCCUAUCUGUACCUGUUUCCUUUUUAAUUUCCCCCUGUAAAUGAUUUCUUAAACUAAGGAUUUCUUUGGUUUUUAUUUGUGCUGGCAAGCAGUGCAAUGUUAUUAUUUUUUUCAGUUUGGAAGAGAAUGAGGGAAGUAAGCUUACUACGCAUAAAGCCUAUAGAGUCCUAAUGAGAACCUGCAUUCAGAGUACUUGAAUGCCACCUCUUGCUAGUUCAGCUUGAUAUGAUAGGAAUUGUGUCCAGCUCUUCUGGACAUAUUAUCCCUCAUUUUAGACAAGUUGCAAACUAUAUAGAAGAAGCUUAUUAGAUAAAAUAAAACCUUGUAUAUCUGCAGAAUCUCUCUCUCCAGGUUUCAACAGCAAUAGGUAUGCAAGUGGUGAUCUGGUCAAAGAAAGCAAUUUUGUGGUUUAGUAGCAGCAUGUUCUCCCUGAUAGGUGAAUAAAUUGAUGCAUCAACAGUAUAUUGCAAAAGGUAAAGCAUAAUGGAAUGGGUUGCUGCUGUUGUAGAUUAGGGAAAGUUUAAUGUCUGGUAGAUAGCACCCUUCCUUUGAGAAACUGACCUGUUAAUACUCACAGAGAGAAAACUCAAGCAGUCACAAGUGACAACAGCUUUAUUGGAGCAGUUUGCUUCUGAUUUUACCUAAAGGAUGGAGGCAUAUUUUUUUUCUAUCUUCCAGAAUUCACUAGUAACAUUUUCUGUUGUCACUUUUGUGAAAAAUUAUUUUUAUUUUAUAAUUAAAUAUUCAAACUAUGUAAAAUCAGAGAUAUUACUGUAAAAGUCCGAUUUUAUUUUCUGACAACUAAUUGCUCCAACAUGCAUAUUAAUUCCAUCUUUAAAAUUCAUGAAUUUUCAUAACUGCUUACAGGAUAAAAUUGUCAUUGGAUAUUAUACAGAAGUGUGAAGUCCUCUGAAGUGCUUCAUUUUGUCUUUUUUUUUUAAUUAAUAUCUGUAGUAUUUAAAAUACUUAGGGAAAUAGUUAUAUUGACUUAGAUGUUACUCAGAAAUUGCUUAGAAUUCUGAGUUUUGGAUACAUUUCAACUUUUGUUUACUUUUAUAAUGCUCACUGGGAAUUAACUCUUCCUCCCUAAAGUAAUGUAAGAUAAGCAGUGUUUUCUGUCAGAAGCAGAAAUUCACAACUACCCUUUUAGUUCCCUUGCUAAUCAUGUUUACUUAACUCUCAACACAGUCUAAAAUGGACUUUAGUGAUAUUUCCAGACUUUUUUAUCUAGUAAAUUCUUGUCUGAGUGAAGUUGCCAAGUCAGCCCCUGAAGGCAGAGCUGUGUGCCUUCAGCUUCCACUAAAACACAUAACAUUAUGCUGGUUAUGAGCAAACACCCUAGAAAUGUGUGUAAAAAAUACUCAAUGUGCAGAAGCAUCCUUUUAGCACCCACAGCCAUUGGGAUUAUGUAAUGAGCCUUCUCCUUGCUUUAUUAAAGUCACAGAAGAAUUUGAUGAUAUGUCACAGCAGGCGACUGUAUGUCCUGCAUACAGAGUCAAAACAAAAUAUUCGGGGGGUGGGGGCAAAAAAAGCCUUUAUAAAUGUCCAGAUUUACAAAUGCUAUUUACUACCUGCUAUUGCUGUAGUACAGGUAAAUAUUAUGUUCUCUUUUUUCCCUUCUAUGUGCUUGUGUAAAUGAAAGACAAAGAUUUGCUAACUUAAUUAAAAACAGCAUGGUACAAAUGUGAAGGCCCCUGAGACAGGACUCUGCAGUUUCGAUGCUGAUGCUGAUACUUUUGCUCUGUCUAGUUUAUUUUUCUUAUGUGAAUAUUUCUCUCUUACAGUAGAAAGACAAGAGGCACAGCAGAAUUUGAAGUUUUAUAUCACUAGCUCAUAGGGCUUCAUAAUUGACUGAUGUUGCAAUAAUGUGUUUUAUUGCAGAAGGCUACACAUACAAAUUUUUGAAUUUUAUGUUCCCCAAACAUAUAUCAUAAUUUCAUUACAUCAUGAAGUGGUAGUUGCUGCAUACAAAGAACGUUUGUACAUAGAUAUCUUUGUCUCACACUUCUUAAGAUCCAUGCUCAGAGAUUGUGAGGGUUAGCCCCCCUCAUCAUUCCUUGAUCUAUAAUCAGAUUAUGUGACGGGGAUCCCAAAUGCCUCUCUUCAGUAUUAUCCAGAAUUGUACCCUCGCCUGCAGCAUAUCAAAGAUGGAUUAACCAAUUAAUUACAGAUUCACCAGAUCAUUGAGUGUAAUCCUUUUUUAGGCCACUAACGUCCUUCAGGGCAAAGGACUCAAUAUGACUUCUGAUUUUGAUCAGUUGCUGGAGUUGGCUUGGAGGGUCCUUCCCCUGGAUCAUCAUCGUCCAUGGGCCGAUCAGUUUUGGUUGUGUUUCCCACAUCUUGUGGAAGGAGCAGCAGCUGUUGAUUGAGGCUCAUGGUUGGGUUUAGCUUCGGGCUUAGGCUCACUCUCUGGUUUAGCUGCAGCCUGAGUGACUGGGGUAGCUGCUGAUUUAUCUCCCUGCCCCCCUGCCUCUAUCUGCUGCCCUACAGUAUUUAGCAGCAUGUUAUAAGCAUAUGGCAUGCUUAUUGCAAUUAGCUUUUUUUUAUUAGAGCACUUUUCUUUCAGAUAUUUUCCCAUUUCAGCUGAGUUCUGUAUUUGUUCACGUGGAAGUCUCAGGUUAUAGGGUCAGAAAAUUCUGUCAGAGUUUGGCCCAUAGCCUCCCAUUCUCCACGCCACUCAAGAGUUAUUUAUGCUUGGGUCCAUGCCUGGGUCUGGUAUUUCAUCAGCUCUUCUGGGCAUAUUAUCCCUCAUUUUAGACAAGUUGCAAACGAUAUAGAAGAAUCUUAUUAGAUAAAAUACCAAGAAAAUGGUCUCUUUAACAUUCAGGUGAAAUUGAACAUUAUCAAAAAGUGAUGUGACAGGUUCAAGGCAGAAGAAGGCAAGGAAAGGAAAGGCUGAAAAGCCUCAUUCCCUGCUCCUCUUCUAAUAUUUUGGGUGCAAUUACAAUAAAAUGCCCAAAUUAUGCUAUUGGAACUAGGACGGAAGGUAGAACGAAGAAACCAUAAACCAUACAUAUCUUGAGGAAACUGCAGUACCUUUUAAAAUUUCUUAUAAACCAUUAUUACUAUGCUCAGCACAAUAGCAACCCAAAUCCGUGCCCCUCUAUUGUAAAAGCUUCAUGUUAGGGACAAUAUUGGAGCUAUCUCCACAUAAGAAAAUAAGUUUAGGGACCAGAAAGGUAUUAAAACUUUUAAAAAGCCUAGGGACCAGGAAAGGCUUUCACCCAGAAAGACAUUAUGAAUUUAAGCAACAUAGCUACUGACUGCUUUAUCCCACUACAGAGUAAAUGAAACUAAAAUGCAAUCAGUAAAGGUUUUUUCCAUUUUCUCAAGCCACACACUGGGCACCAAAAAGUAUUUGUCUUGGUUUAGGGCAAAUCUGGGAGGAAAUUUUUUAAUGGGGUUUUUUUGGAAAGCAAAUUCAAGCGGCACUUUUUUCUCAUUGGUUUGGGAAAGAUUUAUUUGGAGACAAGUGGAAAAAACUGUUUAUUUAACAAGCAAAGUACUCACAAACAUGAAAAAAAUGAGUAAUACUAAACAAUGGAACUUUUCAUUAUUUUGAGGAGAUGGCAAAUUCAGAGAGAGUCCUUUUCAUGGGGUGUAGCUUGGCUCUCUUCCAGUCUCUCCAGGGCUCAGGCCCCAACCACAGUGCAGCUUGGGGGCCCCCCCCCAGUUGAUAGUCCUGGUCUUCUCGGAUUGAACAAUAGUUGAACAGUUCCAAAAAACUUCUGGCCUCAGCUAACUAAAAAACACUAACUAAAAGCGAAGGAGCGCUCUCUCUUGCUGUCUGUGCUGUAAACAAUAUAGUCCAUAAAGGACAAUGCAGGGAAGCAAGUGCAGUUUGUGCAAACAAACUGUGCACUUCUUUUUCCCCUUUGCUCUCAGAACCUGUCUUAAAGCUGCAGAAUGUAAAAUCCAGCAUAAACAGAACAGUCAGCUGGGAAUACAAGCUUCAUAAAGUCACCCUAGUGGAAGUAGCAAAUAUUGUUCUCACAAUAGUCUGAGAAUGAGGAAAACUGGAGGGAAACAGCUCUUCUCUUGGUAAGUGUUGAAACAGCUAAAGCAGGGUAUUACAGAUGCUGCUGAAUUAUCAGCAGUUAUUUAAGUUAUUCCAUGGUAUUCUCAUGGCUAAGGUGAUUAGUUAAAUUCUAAUGAUUCUGUGUAAAAACUAUAAAACGAUGAAUAGUCCAGAUUUUUCUUUCACUCAGAAUAUUGCAUGUCCAUCUCCCAUGACAUUUAUAAACAAGCAAUUUUUUGUUCAAAUUUCCCUGUUGUUUGCUAUCACGUAGUUGUAGGCAGUAUCUGGCAGCAGAUUCCAUUUUUUAUAAGAAUCUUCCUAUAAUGUGGCUAUUAAAACCUCAUUUAAGACUCUCUGCUUCUCUCUGUGGAGAGAAGAUGGUUGUGAAGAAAUCUAGGACCAUUAUAGAACAAUUGUUUUAUCCUUGAUGCACAUGAAUUUCUAACAAGUUAUCAAUAUACAAAUGACAGGAUUAUUUCAUUAGAAAAAAUCAUAUGUGACUUUCAGGAAAGCAUUUCAGUUUAACCUGAGUCAGGGAUAGAAGUUACCCAAAACAGAGUAAUGUUCUAUGCUGAUUGGUAAAGAAAUAUUUUUAAUAUCCUCCCAAUUCUCUCUGUAAGUUUUAAAAAGAAUACAGUGAAGGCAUCUCUAAAUAGCUUUGCUGUGUGUUGUUCUAGUGCCAGAAUGAGAAAAAUUACUAGAAAGUUACUAGACACAAAAUUGUGAAAGACAGAAUUCAGUCAUCUUUGUUUAGGGCAUCUAAUUGCUUUACGUAAAUUUGUCAAACUGAAACUCAAAAUGCUGGAAACUUUAGAUUUAAGACAUGCUUUUGAAUAUGAGUAUGCGAACUUAGAGAAAAUACACACUCAUAUAUGUUUUGCUUGGUAACUAACUGAACUAUCUGCAAGAAAUGCUAUGGGACAUAAAGUAUAGUUCAUCAAAAGUAGCCAAAGGACCAAGAAAAGGGGUUUGGUUUGAUUUUGUUUUAGUAAGCUAAAUAUACAAGUGGAUGAGCUUCUGAGGCUUUGAUGUAGCUGGCUUUUUAUAAGAGGUUCGUUCUGCCAGUUCUGACCAGGACAGAGCAUGCAUGUCAAAUCCUUUUCUAAAAAAGUCUCUCUGAUUCAUUCCAGAGAACCAGCCUUACUAAAGCAAGGCAAUGUUAACCCUUAUUUAAGAAAUGUAUAAUAUUAUGUAAAUUGAGAGAAAGAAAGAGAUUGUAGCUUACUGAAAUGGUGUUUCUAACAAUAGACAUCAAUUUAAGCCAUUAAAUAAAUGAUGGCAUUGUUUCCAAAAUGAGAUAAGGACAAUUCAGAAUAAAUAGCAAACUUUCAAGUUACUAUAACAAAUGAUAAUUUCACAAGUCAUCCUUCAGUUUUUCUGGGAAAAUAUUGAAAAUAUUCAUUCAGCAAUCCAUAAGAUUUUAUACCUGAAAAAAACCUAAUUUUCUGGUAAAAUGUGAGGUACAUAAAUGUGGUUUUUAUAUUCUUUUACUAUUCUUUUACUUCUUAUACUACUAAUACUGGUAUUAGUAAUGGCAUAGAAGUAAAUUCUCAGAAAAUAUUUACCUCUCUGUAAUAAAUCUUGAUAUAGUAUAUCUUUUAUGACAAAAAUGAGGACAAAAAGAACAGUUUUGAAAGAUUAAUUCUUCUGAAAAAGCAUGCACAUGUUAAGAACCCCUGCUGAAGUCACAUCUAAAUCCCAUUUUAUGCUAAAAGAGUGAAAGAGCAAGCACUGGAUUGCCAAGCCUGACCAAGCAUUAUUUGAACUCAAACAUUUAGAAGUAGUGCUGUGAAUAAUGAUAUUCUGUAAAGCUUUCAGAUAGAGGUUAAUAUGUAAUAACAGAUAAGUAUGAGUAUGAUUUUAGUGAAAACAUUGUGAAAUCAAUGAUUGGGGAUUUGGACAACAUAAAUGUAACUUAUUAAAGGAAAUAUUAGGGAUAGGAAAUAGCUGUUUAUACUCAAUUUAUUGCAUACCACUUGUAUAUUUCAUGUUUACUCACCCAUGGAAUGCUUCAGAAAAAAACAUUAACUUUUUGCCAACAGAAAAUGCAGUACAGCGUUAUUUAAGGACAGAAUAACUUUUUUAAGAGUCCAUAUUGCAGACAGUAACUGUCAGCUUUGGAUGUUGGCUAUUGGUUGUUAACCUUGUGGAAAAUAAGCACAAGUUCUGUGGGUACUCUGUACCCGUUUGCUCUUAUUUGUGUGGGAAUCCAUAUACUUUUAAACAUCGUAAUCAGUUCUAGUUAUUGCUUUAUACCACCAACUAUCCUCCAUAAAUUAGAAUCUCUUUCUAAUAUGGACAGCUUUCUCAUAAGCUGUCAGAAAGCAGUUGGUUUUUGGCCCAAGUAUUUUACAGCUUUAAUUUGUGGUUAGAAGGAAGGUUUUUCACUAAAACUUCAGAAAAAAUGAAUGAGAGAAAUAUGCUCUCUAAAAUGAGAAAGAAGUAUUAUAAACAUAAAACAUCUGAUAUAAAUGCCAAAACAAUUUUGAGAAGCCAAAGGUAUUUUUGUAAAUUUUGUUUUAGUAAUGGAUGUAAACUUCACAAAUAUCAAAACCAUAAACUUCCAGACCCCCAUUUUAAUUUGCAAUGACUUGACUCUGAUUUUCUUUGGAUUUACUGGAGUAUCUACUUAAUAUCCUAUGUAUAUUGAGAUUCUUGGAAAGAGAUCUAAAAACCCAGUAAUAUUGUAGCUUAAUUUAGGCAAAAAUUCCGAUGGCUUUUGUUCUUGUUUGAUACAAGUAAAUAAUACUUUUUAUUUUCUUUUUUUUUUUUAAGGUGUAGACUUCUACAAGACCUUUGAAAUUAUCUGUAUAUAUUAAUAUGAAAGUAAGGAGAAUGGGUUUUUCAGAUACUAAUCAUUUUAUCUCUUUUGAACGUUUGCAAAACAUUGUAAAUUUCUGUAAAUUCUAAGCUCCCAAAAGAUUAUUUAGUCUUGCGCUGCUUGGAGAAGAAUCCAGCUGUGCUCCUUACCAGCCCUCAGAGCAAUGAUGUUACACACAGCUUGUAGAAUGUGGAAGCAAUAGGGUUAUCAGAUCCUCCCUCCUACGUAUAAAAAUUAUCUAAAAUGUAAUUGGAUUAGAUCUAUGGUUAUGAUACUGGGUAGUAGUGUACAUGUGUGUGUGUAUUCCUAUGAUAAUUCUUUUUGAAGAUUCCUUUAGUUAAAAAUAUUUUGCAGUACUCAAAAGGAAACCUCAAUCUCUCCAAUUUAGAAACUGUGUGUGAUAGUCAUUGCACUAGGCAUAAGGUGUGCUAAAGGUGAGUUCACUUUUGAUUUUCUGGUGUUUACCUGGAAAAUACUUCUGCAUUCAUUUUAGUUUUGGUAAGGGUUUUUCGGCUGUUGCUCUUGAUUUUUCCUUAUUUGACAGUUGUGCUGAAGAGGCAUCCCUCAAGCUAGUUCGAUGUUUAUUGGUGGAAUAGAUACAGCAUAUUGCUACUCCAAGAGUAUUAGGCUGUUGUGUGCUUCUAAGUCUUCGCAGAUUCAAACUUAUUAAGACUGGAUCUUUUUCUCUUCGCUGUGAUGGCCAAGAACUGUGUCUACAACUGUCUUCUCUACAUCGUUGUCUUUCAGAAGCAAAUCUGAGCAACCCACUAUCUCUCCAGAGGGGUAGAUAGAAUAUGCGUCUCACUGGUGAGGCUCAUUUCGCAUGGUCAUUUCGAGGUCAGUCUUCAUGCAGAGUUCACACAAUCUCUUAGAAGUCAGGUUUUGGGUAUCUAAUCUAAGCUUGCUGGAACUGGAGUCAACUUUGUAUGUAAGUCAACUUAUAUAUGCAGAUAAGCAUUAUUUAUGACAAAAUAAGACUGCUAAAGCAUCACAGAAAAUGUAAAACAGUGAUAGUGCAUUUACAAUUUGAGUUUCUUGGCAGUAUAUAGUUGCAAGGUUAUUUUUAUAUGUGACUGUUUUUAAAUGAAACAAAAAAAUCUGUAGCUCUAAAUGCAAACUACAUUUGAUAUGCUCUUGUUUUACCAAAAUGCCAGAUGUUUCAGGUACAGUGAAGCUGACUCUUUAGAACUGGUUUGUUCAGCUCAGUCAGAGACAGCCUGCCAAAACAAGGCAGGUUAACUCCAAAUCACUGCAAAGGUUCUCUGGGAAAGAGGAAAGAGAGCAGUUGUUUCUAGACCAAUUAAUUACAUACUUUGGGUUACUGUUUUUAGUGGGUGGUUGUAAUAACCAAAUGACCCACAAAUACUCCAUGGAAACCUUAGAAAAAAUACUCUGUUUGAAUAAUGUUUUUACUGUGUACUGUACAGCUGUGAUCUUUCAAAGAACUUAUAAUGCUAAGAAUAAUUUCAGAGCAAGUCAGUCAUAGUAAGUGAAGGAGGUAUUUUAAACUUGUUGUAGCAAACAUAGUUUUCUUAGAUGGAUGGGAGUAUGAAAUAUUUCUAGUCUUUUGUAGCUUAUAUUGCUUUUUCUUUCAUAGUCUUUUUAAUGGAUUCUCAGUAAUAGAUAAUGUUAGUGAUACGCAUUCCAGGAGGCCUCUUCUGCUUUGGCCUACUUUCAGCAUACCAGUACAGAAAGAUGUGAGAGGAUUAGUUUAGCCUGUAGUCUCAUGUAUGCGCUUCCAACAAAGUAAGUCAAAGCUGCCAUCACCCUGUUCUGGCUUUCCUUCUGCUAGGCUGGUUCCAUGGAUCUUCUUUGCUUGGAUCAGAUAAAGAGUAGCCCAGGGUGCCAUGCCAGGUGAAAAGCAGUAAAUGCAGCAGAGCCCUACAUAAAUGCUUGUGCUGGCUCUAGGGUGGUAGUGGGCAGUGGGUUCUGAAUAACAGUGACAUCUUUAAACAUCUCUGUGUGAAGCUGUGACUUCAGAACUCCUGCCAUUCCAGAAAUUAUGGUCUCCUGCUCACUAAUUCUACUGGAAGAAGCAUUAUUGUUGCUCUUGGGUUUUUCUGUUCUGCUGUUUUAAUUUUUCUUUUUCAUGACAGUGCCGUAUCAAUGGCUUUUAGUUUAAGAGUAAGGAUUUCUGUCCCAGGAUUUUUAUCCGUGAGUUCAUCUGCUCCUUACAUUGCUGAUUUUCAUUUCUCAUUGAGGAUUUACAGUCCCUUAAGGUUUAGUAACUGAAAAGAUAAAGCUGCAGUAAGAAGUAUCCUAGAAAAUCAGACUCCAAAGAAACACCUGCAACUAAUUUAUACUCUGUGAGUUUCACCCUAGGCUUCAGAAAAGUAUGAGAGAAAGCUAGCUCAUUUGGAGAGUUGUAGAAACUUCCACAGGGACAGAUCAGUGUAAAGCGCUGUUCCUUUCCACUUAUUUUGUUGUUCUUUUUCCUUUUCCUGCCCACCCCCUGUCUUGUCUCCCUCCCCUCAAUUCUUGCCUCUUCAUAGUAGCCUCUCCCCAAAUUCCUUCCAUUUUUCUGCCAUUUACUUGAAACCAGACAAGCACCCUAACUAUGAAAAUUGCCAAAUGCAAGGCAUCUUCAGGGUAAGCUUGCCUUUCCUUCUGUUUUGCAAUUGUAGUGCUACUGGGAAUCUUGCAUCUUGUACUUUCAAUAGAAGUUUUUUUUUUUUUUUCAAAUGUAUGCAAUGCAACUGUGAAUUUUGCUUCAUAGGUCAACUAGUAGUUUAUUUGAGAGAGAAGAAUAAAAAUACAUUUUUUGUCUCUGAGGUGAUGGAGAUAAAUCAUAAUCAUUUGUUAGAAAUAUUUAUGUUACAUGGCAGUCAAAUUGCACAAAAAAUUGUAUCAACAGAGAGGUGGGAAACUAUAGCAAUGAUGCCUAGAGGGGUGAUGAAGUGACUGAAUAAGAGGGGAGCACUAAUUCCUGAAAUUACUGAUGGAAAAUAUUUCUGUUCCACUUAACAUUUCUAUUCUUUGUCCCCGGCUACAUGUUGGUCUCCAUCAAAUUGUGCCAAGACCAACUGUGCAUGUCUGAGACACUGAAACCUCUUUGCAGUGUAAUGAAAAUAUUUAUCUUCUAUGAACAUCAUAAUAAUUCAUAUAGAAUUAUGAUGAUUUUAGAGCCAUAGAGACACUUCACAGAAUUAUGUAAAGCAUCAGACUGUAAAGCAAAAAUUGCAUCAAACAGUACAAUCUGAGAUAACAUAGUUAAUGUAGUCAGAAAAUAUGCCAGAUUUUAUCUCCCAACAAGUAGAUAAUUUGUAUUUUAUGGUUAUUUAUUUUAUUUUAUUUUAUGGUAUUUUCUAUUAUGGUUUAUUUCUUUUUCUACAACUUAUAUUUGCAUUUGAAUGAUUUUCUCAGUAUUAGUGAAAAGUAAAGUAGAUCAGAUAAAUAAGGAUGCAGUCAUGCCACCUUCUUAUCUACAGUCUGGUCUACAUGCAAAAAAUGUUUGGAGCUUUUUUUUUGUUAGCUGUCAAAAUUCCAUCACCAAAGGACUUUUUGCUUUUCAUGUCAGACACCAGUAUGCAAUAGUCUGAGCUUUUGAGGCCAAUGUUGAAAAUUAGUCUGUAUCUGUGUUUUUCUAUUCAUAGCUCUGCUUUUGGGGGAAAAAAGGAAGCCCUUUUUUUUAAAAAAAGUAAAUGUACAAUUGCAUGUGUUUAUAGUAGCACUUAGUCUAAACAUCCACAAAAAUGGUUGUAGGGUAUCUGUGUUUGGGUAUUUGUGAGUGGCUGCAGCAUGGACCCAUGUGCAUUGAUACAAGCUGUAUGCUGCAGCUGGCUUUUCUCAUUUUAAAGAUAUGACUCUAAAACUAUUUCCACAAAGCAAAAAAAAAAAAAAAAAAAAAAAAAAAAAAAAAAAGACAAAAAACUAUAAAACUGCUUCUACAAUGGCUUUCUUUUGCUGAAGUGGCAAAGUGAAAAAGGAUUUUCCUGGGCAGAUUAAAAACACUGGGUGCUCCAGACAGAACAAUUGAGCAUUUCAGAAUGAAUUAUACUAACUUGCUGAACCAGACUCUUCUGCCUCUGGGCAUGUAUUUGUUUGCAUAUAUUUAUCAGUCUGCUUGGAAACAGAAUGAGAAACAUUCAAGCAUUGCCUUUUAGAGAAGAAUCUGAAUGGAACCUUUCUUUGUUAUUGUAUUAGGGGGGAAAAAAGCAUCCUAGGGAGGAUUGUAGCCACUUUCUGUAAACUAGAAAGAGGCUAUAAAGGCUUCGUCCCACUGAUUUUCACAGACUGUGAGUUGCUAGUUCAUCUUUCCUUUAGAUAAUUCCAUGCUCCAGUUUAAUAGUGAAGCACACUAUAACUCCCAUCUCCUAGCUCCCUAAGGGAGAUAUUUCAGGAAACCCUUACUUGCUUGUAGUUUCUUGACUGUCAGGCUAUUUUACUUUUUUAUUUUCAUUAAUGGAGUGCUUCAGAUGUAAUCUGAUUGCUAGGGCUUUAGCAAUAAAUUCAAAUUCUUCCAGAAUUAAAAGUUUUUAAACUAAUGGCUCCCUUACUACAUUUAAUAUUUUAACAGCUAACUUCUUAUGAAAGGCCUUACUGGUUUGUUAGAGUUAUGAUCUUAUGGCCUCAAAAUCAGGUUAGGUCUGAUAUUAACUGUGGUACUUCACAGGAUACAGGUCUAUCUAGCAAGUACUCAGAGCAAUUACAGCUCCUGACAAACUGCUGGAAUUCUCUUCCCAUGUGACCGGAAAAACUGUUCCAGCAUUUGACAUAAAGCAAAUGCAUACCAGUCCCUGUGCAAGAGGCUGCUUGCAAAGGCUACGGGUUGUUCACACUGCUCAGUGCACACAAGGAAAGCUAUACCAGGAGGCUGCUCACACAUCACUGAUGUUGGUAGUAAGGAGACACAUUCUUACAGUGGUUGUUUUGAUUAUUGUUCUGCAGAUCCCAAGAGCACUUCAGGGUCCAGGUGCCCAAUCAAUCCACAUUAUGAUUUUAUCUUGUGAAAAGGCUCAGGGUGCACCAUUUGCUCUUCUCAAAUUUUAUUUUACCAUCUAAGAAGACUGAUUUUCUUGGUUUUCUUCUACUUUUUAUGUCCUUGCAAAUCAGUGCUAUUGGACAUUUGCUAAUUGCUAGGCUAGGUUGCUUAUAGCUCCCACAACUAGAACUCUGAAUUGAAAACCAAAAUACUAAUAUAGAUAUGUAUAAGCAUACAUAUAUAGAUAUAUAUGUAUAAGCAUAGCUUAUACAUCUCCUUCAUGUCAAAAGCCAAAAAUAUUGCUGGAAAUAAUGAAUAUGUAAUCACAUUUUCCAUAAUGAGGAAAGUGUUCUGCUGUAUGCUCUUUCAAGAGUAUACUGAGGACUUAGGAAUAUACUCUCUUCACUUAAAUCUCUCCUUCUGUUAUGUAAACAAUGUAUUAGGCAACUAGAAUGACAGUUCCACUGUUUUUGCUUAUUUGUUUUUACUUUCUAAUUAAUUUGACUUAUUCAUUCAAAGGGAAGCUGGUGCCUAUCUUGGUUAAUAGGGGAUGUCUGCUCAUAUUUUUGCAUAAAGAUUUCAAGCAAGGCUGUUUGUUUCCAUGGUUAUGAAAAUAUAUUGGCAGGAGUUUUAAAAUCUUGAAGAGAAUUUGCUUUUUGGUAAAAGCAAUGAUGGAAUCAUAGUCAUUCACUUUCACCCACUACCUAAUAGAUUAUAAAAGCUGGUAGAAGUUUUUAAUAAGGAACAAUGCCAAAAUACUGAUUGGUGAAAUUGGGUAAAUAGGGAAUUAGGAAACAACACAAUCUUUAAUGACCUCUGCAUUUUUAUUUAAUACCUGUUUACACAGAAACUGUAGAUUUUUCUUACAAUGGGACUGCAGAGGGACAGAGCUGGUGAUGCUGGGGGGUAGAAUGAGCAGCAUGUACCUUGGUGGGUUUCUCUCUACCAGUAUAGUUUAUUAGUGCAUUCCCAGGGUGAAUGUCAUUUCAGUGAGGAAAGUUUGCUUGAGUAGGUAGGGUAGCAUAAAUUACCUCUUCCUCCUGCAACAGAAAUGCAGAAACCAACUGUUUUGUCAAGUAGGGAUCCACUUUUGCUCCUUGAACUGCUUGUUGCAGGAUUAAAGACGGAAUGGGUCUUUUUUACUGCCCACAUAGCUAAUAUCCCACAGAUGUUUUGAAGAAACAACAGCUGAAGAAAGAUUAUCUACCUCUCCAGUUUUGAUCUGAGAAUUCAACGUUUAGUAUCCUCUAAUGUUUAUUUAGUAAACCAUUCUACACCAUAUCAGGGGGACUGCAAGAUCUAAUGGGGCCAUAUGGGUUUUUUUUUUUAACUUUGCAAAGAAGGAUCAGAAGGAAUUUGUCUCAAUAGAGGUAAUAAAAAGGUAAUAAAACUGUACUCUUGUUCAGAAAUGACCUGGCAUUCUUAAGUGGAUGGAGUUCUUUCCUCUCAAUGAAAUACCUGUAGCCUGCUUCUCAGUCAACUUGCUAUCCUUUGAGUUUAUGCAUUGCUUGUCCAGUUGUUAAGUGUGAAGGUUCACAGUUUUUUAUUCUCUUCAUCUGAAGUCUCAGAUGCCACAUACACCUUAAGGAGAUGCAUGGCAGAAUUUAGUUCCUUCAUAUUGUUUGAAGUGGGUAGUUUUUUGUCUGGAUUAUGCUACACCAAGGGCCAUACAUACUUUGCCACAAAAAGGAUAAACCUGUAUUCCUCAACCCCCACCUUACAAUUUCUCCCUUUGCAAAGGCACCAGCAAUCAUGCAGCCACAUAACUAGAUCAAUAAAGUAGCUGGUAUAGUUGAAAAAUAAGCCAAAAAGAAAAAAAAGUUAGUUUUUUCAUCAGAUCACUGCCCUUUCAGUAUUGGCCAAAAAUAACAGUGCAACUGCAUUUUCAGUGUGGAAGGUGGCUUUGAUACAUUCUUAACAAAAAUCUUUUACGUGUCACUCCUGGUACAGAGCAUUUUAGAACAGGGGUUGUUGAAAUGUAAAACUUACAAGAUAUCACUGGUUGUAAUGUGCAGUGGUACCUUGGGAAACUUGCUUGAACAACGACUCACUAGCAAUACUUCGUGGUAUUUAUUGUGUUGAUUCUGACAUGACUCCCUACAGAAUAAAAAUCUUGACAUUGAUGAAUGUCUUGAAAGGUUUACAGGAAUUCUUUACAACUGCAAAAUACCUGAAAAUUUAACCAGAAUAUAUAUUAGGAGAAGACCAAGGGGAAAAGAAACCACUUAGAAUUUCCCAUUUUAUUUUGUGCAGUUGUUUUCUGUCCAAUUUGUGGAUUUGGUCAUACGUACGGUAUAUUAUCAUGUGAGGGAUUUAUUGAUCUUCAUUAGCAAGUCUGUUUGGACUGAUUUGAAAGGUAACAUUAUUAAACUGAUCAGAAAUAUUAUGCCAGACAUUCAGAGUAGAACAGUCUGUUUUCUGUAGUAUGACUACAUCUAACACCACUUCUUAAAGUUGUUUGUUUUGUAAAGCACUUUCAUAUUGGAGAAUAUUUUUCAAAGUUACACUAUCGGUAUGGGCCCACAGAAUUCUUUCUUUGCAUUUCCAGCUGCUCUAUAAUAAAUUCCAUCUGUGUUUUAACUAUAUUUGCAUUGAUUUUUCAGCUAUGCUAGCUUAUGUCUGUCCUCUGUCUUACUGACCCUAAAGUCAACCAACAUGGUGGGCAUAGAGCCAAUUUCACAUGGCAUUUGGUUAGUUUACUCCCUUUUAAAGUAGUUUAGGAAAUGUUACUCAAAUAUUUCUCUUUUUCUCAAGACUGCUUAACAUUCACAGCUUCACCCCAUUUACUCUGAAUUUCAGCCUCCUCAGUAUUUUUCCAAUUCUAGGGAGAGGGAUUAGAGAUAUACCUCACCUCUAGCAAUUUUCAUCAUUGUUUUCUUUCAAAAUUUCUAGGGGGUUUUUUUUGUCUAGCUAUGGGGGGUUUUCCCUAAUCCUGGGUGUGUGUAUAAUUUUGCUUUGUACUACUUUGCAUUUGUCUUUUAAGACAUAGUUAUAUAACCCAAACACAUAGUCUACGCUCAUAACUUUAAAGGGAAUUAGGCUGUGCAAAGAGUGCAAGAUCAGGCAUUUGGAAAAUGAUCCAGUGGAAUUGUUUUCUUGUCCCUGUACAAUGAGUAUUUGUCUUAAACAACUUCCAUGGCUCUUGGAAACUUAUUUCACUUCUCGUUAGGUAAUCUAUUACCAUUAGCCUUUUUUUGGUCGGAAGCCAGUUCAUUCCUAUAGGCUUUACUGAAGUAUGUGUUGGAUUUUUUCCCCUUCUGUUUGGGUUUGUUGGGUUGCUUUUUGGUUUGUUUGGUUUUUUUUUUUUUUUCCUUUUACCAUUUUCGGAAAUGAUUCAUCUUUUAUUUGGUGGCUAUUGGUUUGGGUUUUUUUCUUUUACCAUUCUCUGAAAUGAUUCAUGUUUUUGUUUCCCAGAUCAAUGACCAGAAAUGCAGCUCCUUGUUUCAAAAGCCCAGACCUUUAUUUAUAUAAAUAUGGACAUUUUAUUGCAUGUUUUAAUUGAGUUUGAAGUGAAAACCACCUUUUUAAAAUAGAAUUGUAUGGCGAGAGUGGUAAAGUUUUUCUCUAAAUUCUAGAUGAAACAGCAGAAAUAAUUAAAUGUAUGGCACAAUCUUUUUACCAUUUAAGGUCAUGGUAAAAAAAGAAAUCGGAAAAAAUGUGCAGCAUUCACUGGAAACUAGAUAGCAAAAAUGAAGUGAUUAAUGUGAAGUAAUUUAGAUUAAGAAGAAUACGUCUUAGGAAGGAAUCCAAACCUGCAGGGUUAUGUCACACUUCACAGAUUUUGCAAAACUGUUCCCAUAAUCCUACUUGAAUGAAAUGUAGCAUUUUAAUAUUCAGGUUUACUGCAGUAUAAACGCAUUUGUCUUACAGCACUUUCUUGAAAUGAAGUUUUAUGAUACUAUAUCCCUUUGCAGUUUAUUUUCAUCUCAGCUGAAUAGCUGAUGUAUGCAAAACUUAAUGCUUCCCAAAUAUAUCAGUAAGAAGCCCAGAAAGAGAUGUAUGCUGCAGACUCUCUCAAAUUAUUUCUGUGGAAGUUGAACAUGUAAGACUGGGUCAAAGCCAAAGUUAAAACUAAUUUGGACAAGUUUGUUCAUCCAUUUCUACCCAAACAUAUCGCAAAAAUUACAAGAAAAUGAGUUUAUAAAGUCAGGUACAAGAAGUUACUUUCUUAGUCUCCUGUGAGUUCCUUUAAUCUCUGUUCUCUCACCAUACUGCUGUAUGUCUCAUUAAGUUGCCCUGUUGUCAUCUUGAACAAACAUUGGGAAUGAAGGCAAGAUGAAAACUCCUUGCUUUCGGUUCUUACACCUUUUAUCUGUGAGUCAGAACAAGAUGUCUAGAGCCAUCCUGCUAAGCCAGGAACAGCCAGAGAUCUCAUAUAAUCCACUCUAUGUGUGUGAUUCAUGGACUUCUGACCCAACAGAAAAAAAUCUGGCUGGAAUGAUGAUGCCAUACGAAACAUGUGCAAAGCUAAAUCUUUCGUAGCAAGGGGUUUUGCUUGUUUCUUUUUAAAUAAAAGAGCUUGUGAUCAAGCCAAAUAUGGGCAUCAUUUAGUGCAGAGAAAAAGUCUGAUUUCGGCACUAUUAAGAUCAUCUGUCAUUUAAUUCUCUACAGAAGUGCUCGCAUGCUACAAUGUCCUGAAGAUGUAGAAAGCACACCCCUUUGAUUAAUUUCAACUUCUAAACCUCAAUUUCAAAGGCCCCUGAUUCCCACAAAUAGAAAUGUUACAAAGCAGUGAGAAGCUGAUUGCAGGUUCUUCUAUCAAUGUGCUGUGGACAUCUUUCAUAAAAGACGAUGUCACAUUUCCAAGAACACAUUGUUGCUUACCAACAGACUUGGAAAUCUUCUCCUCCAUGGAAACCAUGGAAAAUGUCCUGGUAGGUUUUGCACCAACACAUUUGGCGUAGAUGAGGGUUAUGCUGGCUUAAUAUCCCUUUGGUUGCCAUACAGAGAGGAAUUGCUGAUGCAAGAUGUUUUGAUGUUUUGGUCUGUAAACAAAGUAUUGUGCAACGGUGAAAGAGCUCUCUUAAAAAGCAUUUUGUUGCAGUGUACAGUGUUGGAGUAGUUCAUGAUCCACUAAGCAAGGAGAAACACUAGUCAACAGUUUUUCUGUGUAUUUUAGAACAAUUGCAUUCUUUUUUCUAAGCCAAAAUAUAGCCAUCACCAUUAUACAGAUGUAAAUCUUUCUUGAGAAGUCUGGUUCUCUUCCUUCAUUUCCUGUAACAUGUUAGCUGCAGCUUAUUUCAGACUGUUUUCUCUUAGGCUCCCAGAAAAUGUAAACAGGGCAUAAAAUCUUGUCUACAAAUCUUCUAAGUAAUUCUGAGCUCCCACAAGGAGUGCAUUACCCAUUAAAUCAGUUAUUGCAAAUUACUAUUGAAGUUUUUUGGGGGUUGUUUUGCUUAGUUCUGAUUUUAUAUGUUUUAAUGUCUAGGAAGAAGAAAUCUGAUUUCUAAAUCAGAAAAUUAAGUCUUUUAGUAUGUUGUGCUUUGACAGCUGCAAUCUUCAUGAUACAUGUCUUUUUAUUAUACAUAAUGGUGGAUUUUGGUUCCUCAAAGUUCUGUUCAACUGGUGAGCAUCAACGAAGAUGAUUCUAUAAAGGCAGAUCUUACUAGAACACUGCACCAAGAGACCUAAAAUUAUUUUGUAUUGUUAAUUUUGUUACGGUGUUGCUUUAUUCUCUGUCUGAUCUGUGGAUCUUCUAUUUUGCAUGACAGACUGAGAUGAGUCAAACUAUGGAAUAAGACUAAGUUUUCCAUUUAUAGUCAGCUUCAAUUUUUCACUUUCAUUCAGUUUUUCAUUUUCAUUUCAAUUUUUCAUUUUCUUUCAAUUUUUUAUUCAGUCUGUGCUUGUUACCACUUGCAGAUAUCACUAGUUAUCAUGUAAUGAAGUCAUGCAUUAUAUAUUUCUUUCUAAAAACAGACUGAAAAAUUGUCAUCUACUUGCAGUUGACAGUGGUUUCUGUGUAGAUUUUCCAUUUUGAUGAAAACAUGUUAGUUAUUUUUUUUCCAGAUCUAAAUGCAAUGGGGCUUGCCAGCCAUGUAUAUGGAGAAUGGUGUUUCCUCUUCCCAAGAAUUUGUGCCCAGCUCUCUCAGACAUGUUCAUUGUCCUUGACUGCUGCUCUAAAUAUAACUCAAUGCAUGACUUUUGACCACUCAAUAACUACCUUACAUUUCAGAGUAGCUUUCAUACAGGUCUCUCCCAGCACAAGUUUUAGUACUUCUACACUGAAAAUUCUGACAAUAUUAUUUUGAUAAGGCUUUCUUAUAUAAUUAAUGUUGCUUCUAUGGAUCUAUAAUCAUAAAAACAUGCAUUAAGAUUAAAUUAUAAUUCAGUUGAAACUAUAAACUGAUAUGUAGUAAUUAUUGUUGGACAGUAGUGGUAAUGAACAAACUGGCUAGUGUACAAUGGGCCUGUUUUAUCAGUUAAGUCAAUCCACUGUCUCAUUCUUUGGCAGGGAAUUUUUUGAAGAUCUGUAUUAAAAUGUAUUAUUAUCAAUGUAUGUAUCUAUACAGUCAGAUGUUAAGAUGUUUAGUCUGAGAAAUAUGAUUUUGAGUUAUUCAAUAUGUUUUACAGUAUCACUAAAUGUCUUCGUGCUUAUGCUACAAUGCCAGUAGUUUUUGUUACAAAGCUGAACAUUAGCAUGGAAAACCAGUUUUAAUUUAGAGAUAAAAUGCUGAGGUUUUUUUCAUUGUUUUCAUAAUUCUUUUAAUAGUAGUACAGAUUUUGUAAUUUUUGAAUUCCGUAUUUCCAAGCAGCAAGCUGAAACAGUUGUUGCGAGUACUCUAACCUUGGUAAGUGGUUUGCACUGUGGUGCUGAAUGCUUUCAUAUUCAGACGAUAGAACUACUCAGGUCUAUUGGGUUAAUGAUGUGGUCUUUUAUGACAUAUUUCUGUUCCAUGGCUCAUGAAGACCCUUCUAGUUUUUGCCUAUAUGAAACUGCCACAACACGGAUGGGGAGCUGGACAGCAUGAGGGCACUUUCUGGCAGAAGUGAAGGAGAGAGAGGAUAUGGCGUGGUUCUCUGAGGACAGUGCUUCAAACUUGUGAGAAGGAGGCUGCCCUAGCUCCAUCUGGUUGCAGCUGUAGAUUUACUGUGAGCUGUGGAGUAGCUGGAGUGAGGGGGUUCACUGGGAGGGGAAGUGAAGGAAGCACAAACUGGCAGAUACCAAAAAGAGAAGAUGGUACAGGGAGCAGAUACGCUCUACUUGCAUGGAAAUAAACUUGCACAUUAAAGAUUGCUGCUGGGGUCAGUGGCAGCAAUUUAGCUAUCUAGAGUAUUUAGAGACAAAAGCUGUGCUUUGAAACCUGUUUGACCAGACAGAGAGAGGACUGGAACUUUCAUUGAAAGUCAGUCGAGUAGUAACUUCCACACCUCUGGGAGGUCACCCUUUCUGCAAGGGUAGAAACCUAAGCUUUCAUAUGCAUUUAUGUUAGAUCUUCAGAUAGCUUUCUCGGGAGCAUUGCCAGUUUCUGUUGCAGCAGAGACAGAAGAAGAGUAAAUGUUGAACAGCAUGUCAAAGGUCGAAGGAGAUGUCCUUCUACCCUGAGCAUGUCUCUUGUGGUGUCAUUUGUUCCAUUCAGAUGAACUGAUGUCAGAUGACAGGGCCUGGACAGUAAAUUGCUUGCAGAAUCAGCAGUGAGUUAUUUGUCAGUAGCCUGAACACCUGCUGAAGAUGAUGGAGUUGUUCUGAAAUAAACUGGUACUUCUGCAGCCUUUAGCAGUAGAAAGGAUGAGCUCCAUAAGAUACUGCAUUUUGUUUUAAAUUACUAUUUGACAAUGCUAUAUCUUUGUGACCUUAGUUUAAUUUAUUCUUAAAGUAUUUCUGUGUUUUGGAUUUUUGUUUUAGCAUUUUCUUUGUCAGUUAGGAAUGUUUUAUUUACAUUAAUCUUAAAACAGACAACUUGAAACCUGAUCUUUCUGGGCAUAAAUUCUCCUAAAUUGUUCCUAUAUGUUUCUUAUUUUGCUGAAAUUGUUUGGUUUGUUUGGUUAUUUUUCCUGAGGUGAAUUUUAGCAUGCUAAUUUAAAUAUGUAACGUAAUUAUGAUGUCAUAAAUAUAUUUAUUCUGUUAUUUGAUUAUUUCCUUAUGUUUUUCUAGUUUGAGAGUUUCAUACAAGUAAACAAACUUGUUCAGGCCUCUGUUGACGGCAAGAAUGUGGUAUGAAAAUACCAGAGUCGGUUUCUGUUGAUCUGAAAGUACAACUGACUUGGGUGCAGCUUCUUACAAGAAGGUGGUUAUAAAUGCACCUUUGUAUUCCCUGCAAUUAUUUUUUUUUCUUGCUUGUGUCCAGGAGCAGUCACUAUUGCCCUGUACAUCAGUGACUUAAAGUAGUGCUCUCCAUUCCAGUUUACUACUUGUUUUCUGCUUCACCCAACAUCCAUGUGGGCUUGCAACAAUGGAAGGAGUUUUAGCAUUAUUUAAGAGCUUGUUUUCAUAGCUUAAUACUAAGGAACCAUAUUGAGAAAUACAGAAAGGCUUCCAGAUUACCAGACAGAAUUAGAAAGUUUGAGAUUUAGCUAUACCUUCUUGAUUUUUUUCAAAAUGCUGUUUCUUGUCAUACGUCAUGAAAGGACUGUCUCAGAACACUUUUACUAAUUUUAAAUCACUACUUUGUUAAGGGUAUUCCUUUUAAGGAGUAACAGCUCAAUAAGCUCCUUAGUCAGAUAACUAGAUCUCUGUGGAUCAACUUUUGUUUCAGCUGUCAGUAUGGACAUACUCGGUAUAUGUUCUCCUGAACUGUUGUCAUUUUCUCAUUUAAAUGUAAAGAAAGAAAUCACUUCCUAUAAGAUUCCUUGAUCUUUGUUUAAAACAAACAAACAAGCUAUCACAUAAAUCGACUUAAAAAGACUAAAUCUAAAAGAUGUGAAAAAAAAAAAAAUACAGUGACCAGCAGGACUGGGUUUUGGUUGGGGUUUUGUUUUUUAUUUGAGUGUUAUAUUCCUUGCUUGCUGUGGCUCUUAUGUAGACAUAUACAGUUUGACUGUCAAUUCCUCCUCAUGAAGUACCUGAAGUCCUGCUAAGUAUCAAGCAACAGUAGCAGCCGUAGGGAGUGUUCCCCUAGCACAUUUCACUGGCUUCCUGCAGGUUAGCUCCUCUUAAUAAACGCAACUUUUUAAAGUUUCAGGAUAUUUUGAGAGUAAAGCUAGUCUGGCUUUGUUUCUUCACGCAGCAUAACAGAAUAGUAACUUUUUAAAAAGUAGGUAGCAGUGUUGAGGGAUUCCUUUUCCCUGCAGAAAGCACCAGCGAAAUCCCCACAGGACACGCUGUAACCUGUUCUAAAGAACAAUGGAAAACAUGACAGGAAUCUGUGGGUUUUUACACUGGAACUCCGUCGCUUCGUUUUCCUUUGUCUCGUUGCCAGCGGUCCGCAGCCGCGGCCGGGGCUGGGGGAGCGGUGCGGCGGGAGCCGCGGGGUGCCGGGGAGCGGCGGCGCUGCGCGGCCCCGGCCCGGCCGCUGCUCCUUACAUGGGCAUGGCCGCGGCGCGCCCGGGGCCCGGGCGGGGUGGCCCUGGAGCCGGGCCGGGCCGAGCCGGGGGCGGCGCGGCCCGGGGGGCUCAGCCAGACAAAGAACAGUCCCGGCAACCAAAUAAGGAAGUUGGAGCCGGAGGAUUUCAGAAUAGGAGCAGAGGGGGAGAUGCCAGGGAAGCCGGGGAAGCAGUCUGCGUGCAGGGAGCUGCUCUCUCCUGUUACCCGCCGAGUGCUGAAUGCAGGGGAUCGAGGCUGGCGGACUGUCCGUACCCUUCUGUGAUCCUCAGCCAGCAAAGUUAAGAACUCAAGCUGUGUUUGUCAUAUUUUCUCAUGUUUCUGAAAGCUCUCUACAGAUUUUUGUUUAGAAAGGAGGUCUCUUUGGCAGCCCUGUUGGUUAGCAGGCUGAAGAUAAAUGAGUCAUCCUUUGCCAGGGGGAAAGAAGAGUCCCAUUGCAGAUAAUUUUAGGCAUUACAAAAACAUAUUAUAAGUUUUUGUCUACUGUAGCGUUCUAAUGAAAACUUAGAAAUUCCUCUAGAAAGGGUACACAGGCACCCCUGAGUGUCAGAGAUGUCUUUACAGUUAAGAACAGUAGUAGAGAGAGAAAAUAAAGAAAAUAAGAGCUAGAAAACCCUAAAACUGUCCUGACAAUUUGCAUAGAAAAGCAUUUCGUAACAAUAUAAAAUAUGGAAAAUUGUUAUGGGGUUUCAGAAGUGCAAUUUAGCUACUGGUUUAAACAUAGGUGUAGGAUCCCUGUGAUCCAGUGUCUUGGGAUGUUGUUUUCCUUACUUAUUUGAGCUGAAGUUAAAAGGUCUUCCUGGUGGAAAAACACAUGGAACACCAUUCACUUUUUCCCUUCAGACUCAAAGCAGGAAGAAUCCACACAACAAAUAUUCUGAAGGAAGAACUAUAAUCUCUGCUGAGUGUGUGGAACCUAGAAUAGAGAAAAGUAAAUAGCUGUGGGCAUAAACUUCAGCAGUAACAUUUAACAUGCUGGCCUGGUUUGCUCUGGUUUCAAAAUGUUAGCUACAGAAUGUGUCCUAAAGUCACAGCCUUUAUAGCAAACAAUUACAUGCACUGUGAGCUUGACAUCCUGAUGAAAGGAAGUAAGUUAUGCCUUGAUCUUGAAAUUGUGACAAGAUCAGCUCAUAAACAGCUACUGAAAAACAUUUUAAAUACUGUAGGGAAGCCUGCUCAGAAGAAACAGCUUCUUUAUCUUCCUUGACAGGCCUUACAAUUACAGCAGCUGUAAGUUACUGAAGUGUAGCUAAUUGAAAGAUACAACACACUCACUAUUGCCAUGUCGGGGCUAUUAAAUAAGGGAAUGUAGUGCUGAGAUUUGAGUUCAGAACUGGGAAGGACUUACAGGUGACAUUCAAACUGCUGUGAUCCUCUGCAACUUUUUUUAAGCCUUCUAAGAUGUUUAGCAUCUGAAGUACAGGUAGACCUCUGAUAAAUCCAUGGCAAUGCUUGUAAAAGUGAAUAUCGGUAUCAUAGCUGAAAAGUAUUAUGUCAGCUUUACUAUGAAGUAAAACCUAAGCAGUGAAUGGCUUUUUUCCUGUUAUAGUUUCUUAUAUUUAAUUUCCAGAUCUCUCACACAUUGCAGUAUCAAUAGUUUUGCAGGUCUGGAAAUCUCCUGGAUUACUCAUGGAUAAAACAGACCAAUCAUGUGGGCACUGAAGUGUCUAGGAACUUUAAGGAAGUCAUUGGGAUACUUAACUUCUCCAUAUGCUUGUUGUUCAACCAUCACUGUUCCAGUUCCUUAUUAGAAAGUGCCUACAUCGUAGACUCACAGUUUUCCUCUGUGCUGUCAUAGGGGUUGCACAAUAAGUCUGACCAAUAUCUUUAAUUUUUUACCCUGAGGACCUUUGCUAUUUUAGUCUGAAAGGUGAAAUAGUGGUAUAACAAAGAAGACUUGAGUGUGAGUCACUUCGUCACUAUGGAUGCAUGCACAAAUGCGUUUCCACAAAAAUGGUAACUGCUGCCUUUUGAAAAUUGACUCAGUAAUAGAAGCUUCUAAUCUUUGGCUUUCUGUUGGUAUUAUUAGAAGUUUGGACAAAAUUCUUCUUGUCCUUGUUAUUGUUGUUGAAUCCUAUUUUGCUAGAUCAGAGACUGCAAUAUGAUUUGCUAUCAAGUGUUGACCCUAGCUGUGUUUUCCUUUUUGUAAAGCACAUAGCUUCAAUGGUGUGUAUUUGCAGAAUUGAAAAUGAUGGGAAAUGUUUGCCUAAAUAUUCUUACUUGCAACAAACAUGAUCUUUUUUUUUCCAGAAGUGCUAAGAACAAAAGCCACAAACAGCUUGGUACUUCUAGUUCAGACAUUGUGAAUUUCACCAAACAGAAAUAGUACCAGACAAUCAAUUUACAGUUACUACCUCAAUGUCUGCCAACACCAGCCAAGUUAGGUAGUACAGGAUACUUGAAAUGCUUUGGACUGGCACAUGUUUGGUAACUAACAUUUCAGAGGUAUAGUCAAUCACUUUUGGUUUUGGGAAAUCCUAAUUCUGCAGUCUGGCCUUCUAAAGAAAUAUCAAACUCUCACGCAUUCAAAGAAAAUCGGUGUCCUGUUCCUGGCAUAGGAAUCCACAUUCAAAGCUAAUCAGAAAAGCUUUGACUUUUCUGUCAAAGUUUUGUCCCACAUUAUGGGAGGUGAUAUAGUUUUAUGGAGAUUUUUUUUUUUGUUUUAAAUAAAAAAAAAUAAAAUCUGCAAUGGUUGGCAUGCCAAAGCUUAUUUUGAACAGCUAGUGUAAAUGACAUGCAUUUCCCUUAUGUGGGAAAAACAAGGAGAUUGCUGAACUGGCCUCCAUAGAUCAUUGAAUUCAGUAAGCUGCGUAUGAAUCAGUUUGGAAGCUUGUAAACUCUUUCAAUUCCCUCUUCUGGUCAGUCCUUCGGGUCUAUUUUACUGACAUUUCAAAUCUGAGUUUAAUGAUGUUUGAACUGUAAUACGAUGCAAAGCUGCAUUGUAGCUAGCUGAAUACUAUUUGGGUUGAUUUACAGGCAUGCCUAUAUCCUCGCAUUCAUUUCCAGAUUGUAAGACUGAAAGAAUCUCAUGUCACGUGUCUCCCUCAUUAGAAAACACAAAUUGAAUAUCGAUCACAACUUCUUCCUAGAUCUCAGAAUUUUUAAAGUUUCAUUUGUUGGAUUUCCUUCUUUUGUCAAAAUGUCUUGUUUUGAUUUUAAAAAUUUGAGAGUUUUGGUCUUAACUAAUGUGAUCAGAAUUGCACACUCCAGUAUAGCCUUGAAUGUUUCAGUUAAGUCAGCAGCUACAAUGCUUAAUUUUUACAUAUCAUAAUGAGGAGGCAAAGAUAAGAAAAGAAACAGAAGUGUAGUUUUUUGUAUUAUAGUAACACCUGGAAAACAGCUGUUGCUUUUAUUUAUAAAAAUAUAUGUACACUAUUAAAAUACUCUUCCUUCACUGAAGAUACACUGCAGGCAAAAAGAUUGUAUUUAAAUGCUACAAAUUGUUCUGUAAUAGUUUAAGAAUUUGACAGACUCUCUCAUGCAAUCCAGUGUGUUAUUUUCAUUUAUUUUCACUCAUUGCUGAGGAUUAGUUUUUUAAAGGUUUUCUCCCUGCAUUUUCAGCUUUUCUUUCCUGAAGGCAUCCUUUUUAGUUUUUGUACUUCAAACAAUACUAAUUUCAUUUUAUUUAUGGGGUAAUUUGAAAAGUAAAUCUUAAUUUUGUGAAGCUUCUCAAAGCCUGAAUGAAUGCUAGCAAGAAAACUUCUGGUAGUUUUGUGUUUGCCUGCUUUACUAGUGACAUCUACCAUUAUCUUACCUGGUCCACAGAAAUUAAUUGCUGGGCUCCUUUAUUUUUCCAAAA